rnacentral:rRNA from 1 species
UACGUAGGGUGCAAGCGUUGUCCGGAAUUAUUGGGCGUAAAGAGCUCGUAGGCGGUUUGUCGCGUCUGCUGUGAAAACUCAGGGCUUAACCCUGAGCCUGCAGUGGGUACGGGCAGACUAGAGUGUGGUAGGGGAGAUCGGAAUUCCUGGUGUAGCGGUGGAAAUGCGCAGAUAUCAGGAGGAACACCGGUGGCGAAGGCGGUUCUCUGGGAAUGUCCUGACGCUGAGGAGCGAAAGUGUGGGGAGCGAACAGG